GACGAACGCUGGCGGCGUGCCUAACACAUGCAAGUCGAACGGUAAGGCUCUGGCUUUGUGGGGUGCUCGAGUGGCGAACGGGUGAGUAACAUGUGAGUAACCUGCCUGUGACUUUGGGAUAACUUCAGGAAACUGUAGCUAAUACCGGAUAGGAGCUCCUGCUGCAUGGUGGUGGUUGGAAAGGUUCGGCGGUUGGGGAUGGACUCGCGGCUUAUCAGUUUGUUGGUGGGGUAGUGGCUUACCAAGGCUUUGACGGGUAGCCGGCCUGAGAGGGUGACCGGCCACAUUGGGACUGAGAUACGGCCCAGACUCCUACGGGAGGCAGCAGUGGGGAAUAUUGCACAAUGGGCGGAAGCCUGAUGCAGCAACGCCGCGUGCGGGAUGACGGCCUUCGGGUUGUAAACCGCUUUCGCCUGUGACGAAGCGUGAGUGACGGUAAUGGGUAAAGAAGCACCGGCUAACUACGUG
rnacentral:rRNA from 1 species